rnacentral:lncRNA from 1 species
UAAGAGUAUUUACAUGUACCAAAGGCAGAAGUUAUUAUGUUUAGUACGUGACCCUCGAAGCUUAAGUUCGGGGUGUCACAGCAAAUUAAUUACUAAUGAUUCCUUAUUUAAUUUUUAAUGCUAGUUUGCUGAAACUUAUCAUUUGAGGUUGAGUAUGUUUUAUUGACCCUCUUGAAGAUUUUUUUUUCAGUUUACGGAUCUUAAAAGUUCGAGCACAAAGAGUUGGCACAAUUUAUUCUUCUUUCUUUGUUAUUAUGAGGCAUGAUCGCAAUGUCUUUGUUUAACUAUGUGCUUCAAGAAGCUAUAUUUUUACAAGGACUCUGAAAUAGGGUCUUUAACUUACAAUUAGCUUUUCCCUGUGAAAUUUACAUUUUUUUUACGCCAUCCUUUAGUUGUUUCUUUUUGUAUCCUGUCAACUUAUCUUGGUCUAUUCAUACAAAUUGGAGAGGAAUAAUGUAUUUAUUUCCUAAUUUAUAUUGACAUAUAUGAUCAUUUUAAUGCUCUAUUAUUGUUUAGUAUUUUAUCUUGUUAAUAUAUUCCAGUAUUUUUGAAAAUGAGUGUCUGACUGUGGUUGCUGAAUGGAUCAAGAAUGUAAACUGAGAAUUGUAUUAUGUUAUUCAAUAAAAGAUGAAAAUGGAAAUAACACUCCGAGGCUCCUCGAGAGGCCUAACUCUCCUCCUAACACUCUACUUUUCUCGAUGAAUUCUACAGCCUUCCCCCCAUCACAUUUAUUGGCAUUCCCCCCCACGAUUCAGUUCCCUAAUUUACCCCUUGAACUAACUAACUAUUAACUACUUGGACUAAAAAGGAAUAAUAUGCUGUAUUGACUGUAACCCUGCUGAUUAUCUCUGUUUUCCUUUAUUGGGAGUCCAUCACAAUCAUGGGGCUGAUCUGAGGUGAUCUCGAAGUGAUAUUUUUGGGUUUUCUGAAGUUAAUAAUGAGGGAAUCGUUGACCUAAGAUUUGUUUUGAUAUUCUCUAUUACUGCAGGCUGUAGAAUAUGAAGCUUAAGGAUGGAUAUUUGGAAUUUUUAUGUCUGAAUUGUGUGGAAAAGUAUCUAGAUAAAAGGGUAUAAAUAUUACUAUGAGUAUGUCAUGUAUGAAGGGCUUGGUUCUAGAGGAGGAAAAAGAAUAAGCUGUUGUGGGACUGAUGAGAAUAACACUGGAGUACAUUACCUUUUGGUAAAUUGAGGAUGAUUACUGAUGAUGUUAUUUUAUAGGAAAGUAAUGGGCUUUAGAAGUAUCUAAUUCGCAAUGAGGAGAAGAAUCAAAGUACUGGAAUUGUGAGGGUAAUGCAACGAGGUUUUGGUGGGGGCAAAAAAAAUAGAAUGCUAUAAGUACUGUACAAUGUUGUCAUCAUAUCAUAUAUUCUCAUAAUAAUCAAUUCUAUUAUAACAAGUAUAUUAACUCAAUAUUAUUGACCUAUAAGGCUCCUUUUCUAAGAUUCAAGACUUUCUGAACACAAAUUUAACUCUGAAUUGACCUAUAUAAACUUAAUAAAAAAUUCCUGCUUAACUGACUGUAACUAUGUAGUGCUGUAAUUGAUAAACCAUCAGAUAUCACCAACCGAUUAAUGUAGUACGAUGAACUAAUGGUAAUAUUCUGCUAAGCAUUGCCCAAAUUGUAACUCUGAUUCAAAUGUCACUGUGGUCAACUCCUCUGGGAAGAAAGCUGUUUGUAGUCCAUGCCUAACGCCUUUGUUUCCACAUUCUAAUCUCUGAUUUAACCAUGG